AACUUUCGGCAACGGAUCUCUUGGCUCUCGCAUCGAUGAAGAACGCAGCGAAAUGCGAUAAGCAAUGUGAAUUGCAGAAUUCAGUGAAUCAUCGAAUCUUUGAACGCACCUUGCGCUCCUUGGUAUUCUGAGGAGCAUGCCUGUUUGAGUGUCAUGAAAUUCUCAACUGCUUUAGCUUUUGUGGUUGAAGUAAAGUUGGAUUUGGAGGAAUAAUUGCUGGCGUAACCUUUUAAGGUUGCUUGUUAGCUCCUCUUAAAUGGAUGAACUUUCCAGUAGUGUAAAAGUAACACCAAUGUGAUAAUUAUCUACGUUGGAUGAACUUGUACAAGGAAAGAUGAAUCUGUCUUGGACCCCCUUGACGAAACAAAUGACAAAUUUGACCUCAAAUCAGGUAGGACUACCCGCUGAACUUAAGCAUAUCAAUAAGCGGAGGCU
rnacentral:misc_RNA from 1 species